GCAGUUUCGUCCUUUGGCCGAGGUCACGUGCAAUGAAGCCGUCAAGAAAAUCGCCUGUCGAGACAUUUCGCGUGAAUAUGAUGAUUGGAUAUUAAGAAUGGAAUGCGUUGAAUGCAUUGUUCCGUUUUCGGACAAUAUUUAUUACCCGUUGCAUCGCACUCUCCCUAAUAUUGAUUCAAUUAUAGGUUGGAAAAACUUGAGAAGAAAGAUCUGCGAGAUCCAACUGACCAUUUUGUAGGAAAAUUCGCCGUAAAACAAUGUGGCGUUCGUUCAACGAUAAUCGUAAAGCGAGCGUUCGUUCGUUUCGCAAUGAAACGUGAAGACGACGAUGGUUACGGUGUUCCUUACGGUCUCGCGUACCAGCGUGGCCGUGGUACGCGUACGAGUCGCGUCCCGUUGAUAUCGCGCCAACACGCACCACUGAUAAUAUCUUUAAUUACCGCCACCUGGACGAGGAGGGGUCUCUGACUCGACCAACGACAACACCGUGUCGGGAUCGAAGUUUGACGAGUCGAUUCGACGACAGUCGAAUCGCGACUUAAUGAUGGCGGAUAACGUAAUUUUAGAAGGAUGGAAUCAACGCAAAUAUGACUCCAUCACGCCACAUUUCCAAGAUCCAAAGGGUAGAAGACUUGCAGGCGUCCAAAGUUCCGGUUUCGUCUAGGAAACGAGCAUUUCCUCUCGUGGAAGCCUCGCGUGGUCUCGCGAUUCUCCACUCGUUCAACGUCCGAAAGACACGCCCGGUAUUGCUUUCAAUUAGCAGCACCUGGAGAUCGGUAUCCGGUACCAUCGCGGCCAACGACAGAGGUGAGCUCGCCGCGCAAAAGUUCGCCGAUAAAGCGAGCCGCGAUCCUUCGCGGGAACUUAAUAAUGGUAAUUACAAGGAAGCCAUGAAAAUUUAUGAUGUUAUUCGGUUGAAUGUGCGCGCGCGCGCCCCCUCGAACCGUAUGGAAAUGGAAGGUAGUAAAAAACUUGAAAACUUUUUCCAUCUUCCCGUGUCUUUUCUUCGAGCACUCGUCGAGUAUAUAUUCCAGCCAUAAGUUAACGAACGAAUUAUUACGAUUAUGAUAAUAACGUGAUGAUGAUGAUGAUGAUGAUGAUGAUGAUGAUGAUUGAGCGGUUUUUCGAAAAUGAAAAAUAUGUCAAAUGGAUAUUAUACAAAUUUAUGAAAUAGUUAUAUUGGGAAAAAAAUGAAGUAAUGAAUUUAAAAUUAACAGGCGAUUUAUAGAACGAGGCACAGUGAAUUGAUUCGAAUUAUUUCGGCAUCUUGCCUUUUAGCAUGCGUGCUUGAGGAAGAGGACGUUGUUUUGUUGUUUCGUUAUGUCUCUUAAUUUGUGUGGAAUACCUGUAUCCGCAUGUAUGCGAUGCAAUUAGUGGUCAACAUCUUGCGAUAUUGCUAAGUAUCGGCGCCAAUAUUGCUCGCGACCAGAAAUUGGAAUUGCGUUUGAUGUUCCGACGAUGGAUUCCCGGCAAAUGGACAACUCGUGUUCGCAAAUUUUAUAGUGCCGUUUUUGAAAAUAAGAAUUCGGUAUUUUGGAUAUCGGUAGUUGUUUUUUUUUUUUCAAAGAAAUUACUUUAAAAGUAUCAUUAAUUUGUCAUAAUUAUAAAUAUUACGCAUUAUUGUGAAUUAAAGUUAUUCAAAUAAUAGUAAUAGUAUGUUUAUGCAAGAGAAAGAUCAAUGAUUGGAAAAACGAUCGAAAUAAUUUCUAUGCAAAUAUUCUUAAUCGACGCGUUCGCUCUGGCGUAAGUUUCCUUUUUUCUCUUUCUCUUUCCUCGUCAUUAUCUCGAUUCAUUAUUCAGCACUACGAUAAUAAUAUGUGACUCACGACAGAGAGGAAAAAAAAACAAGUUUGAUUUGUUUUUGUGGAUCAUUGCGGAGACCUUGCGUAGAAUGCUUACGAGUCACGAAUUCCGCUCUUAAUUUCACUAUCUUGUCACGAGAUUUCUACCUCAUUAUUUAUCUAAUUUAAUCUCUUUAACUGUAGCAUUACAUUUAAUUACUUAGAUCUAUUGUCUUCAAUAAUAAAUGCGAAAGUGUGUUGCAAAUGCAACAGUACACGAAUCUAAAUCAAUUAAUAAAAGAAAACAUAUAUCAAAGCUACUAUUUAAACGAACGUAAUUAAUGUUCUGACUAAAUGGAUCGAAACUUGGAUAGUAGAAAAUAAACUCUGUAUUUAUUCCUAUA